rnacentral:rRNA from 1 species
CGGAACGUGCCCAGUCGUGGGGGAUAACUACUCGAAAGAGUAGCUAAUACCGCAUACGAUCUGAGGAUGAAAGCGGGGGACCUUCGGGCCUCGCGCGAUUGGAGCGGCCGAUGGCAGAUUAGGUAGUUGGUGGGAUAAAAGCUUACCAAGCCGACGAUCUGUAGCUGGUCUGAGAGGACGACCAGCCACACUGGGACUGAGACACGGCCCAGACUCCUACGGGAGGCAGCAGUGGGGAAUUUUGGACAAUGGGCGAAAGCCUGAUCCAGCAAUGCCGCGUGCAGGAUGAAGGCCUUCGGGUUGUAAACUGCUUUUGUACGGAACGAAAAAGCUUCUCCUAAUACGAGAGGCCCAUGACGGUACCGUAAGAAUAAGCACCGGCUAACUACGUGCCAGCAGCCGCGGUAAUACGUAGGGUGCAAGCGUUAAUCGGAAUUACUGGGCGUAAAGCGCACGCAGGCGGUCUGUCAAGUCGGAUGUGAAAUCCCCGGGCUCAACCUGGGAACUGCAUUCGAAACUGGCAGGCUGGAGUCUUGUAGAGGGGGGUAGAAUUCCAGGU